rnacentral:rRNA from 1 species
CAAUAGCGUAUAUUAAAGUUGUUGCAGUUAAAAAGCUCGUAGUUGGAUUUCGGGGCAGCCUGGCUGGUCCGCCGCAAGGCGAGUACUGGUCAGCCGCCCUUCCUCUCGAAAGCCCCGACUGCUCUUCGUUGCAGUGGUCGGGUAGUUCGGGACGUUUACUUUGAAAAAAGUAGAGUGUUCAAGGCAGGCCUACGCCUGAAUACAUUAGCAUGGAAUAAUGGAAGAGGACCUCGGUCCUAUUUUGUUGGUUUCCAGGGCCGAAGUAAUGAUUAAGAGGGACAGUUGGGGGCAUUCGUAUUUAAUUGUCAGAGGUGAAAUUCUCGGAUUUAUGAAAGACGAACAACUGCGAAAGCAUUUGCCAAGGAUGUUUUCAUUAA